rnacentral:snoRNA from 1 species
UUGCCCAAUGAUUAUAGCAAGACGCGUUAUUAUGAGGACUAAUGCUGGAACUCUUCCUCCUCCUCCUCCUCCUUUGUCCCUUCCACUUUGACCUUACCCCCCUCACUUCCCUCAGGGUAUCCAGCGUCCUAUGAGCAAGACUGAGAUAUGAGGGCAA